rnacentral:rRNA from 1 species
CCUACGGGUGGCAGCAGUGAGGAAUAUUGGUCAAUGGUCGGGAGACUGAACCAGCCAAGCCGCGUGCGGGAUGAAGGUACAGAGUAUCGUAAACCUCUUUUGUCAGGGAACAAAGGCGGGGACGUGUCCCCGGAUGAGUGUACCUGAAGAAAAAGCAUCGGCUAACUCCGUGCCAGCAGCCGCGGUAAUACGGAGGAUGCGAGGGUUAUCCGGAUUUAUUGGGUUUAAAGGGUGGCCAUGCGGUCUGUUAAGUCAGCGGUAAAAGCCCGGGGCUCAACCCCGGCCCGCCGUUGAAACUGGCAGUCUUGAGUUGGAGAGAAGUAUGCGGAAUGCGCGGUGUAGCGGUGAAAUGCAUAGAUAUCGCGAAGAACUCCGAUUGCGAAGGCAGCAUGCCGGCUCCACACUGACGCUGAGGCACGAAAGCGUGGGUAUCGAACAGGAUUAGAUACCCGAGUAGUC